rnacentral:lncRNA from 1 species
CCCUCACUCAUUAUGUUGGGUGGAAAGAUUAUUAUCAUAUAUAGUUUUUCAAAUGAGACGAGCUAAGAUCGUUAAAAGCGGAAAAUGAAUUUCUUCAGUUCUGCGCCCUCAAAGUCAAAUGUGAGCUUGAUAUCUUUGAUAUCUAAUUUUUUUUUUUUUAGUCAAUACUAGAUUUGAGUUUAAUCAAACUGUCGAAGUUGAACUUAUUUGAAAUCUCUUCCCUUUUUUGUCCAGAUUUGAGUUUAAUCAUUCUAUUGAAGUUGAACUCAUUUGAAAUCUCUUAUCUUUUUUCAUCAAUAAAGAAAUUUGUAUCAACAAAUGUAGCUUGUUGAGAAUCAUUAUGUUUUGUUAAGAGUUGUUCCA